CCUACGGGAGGCAGCAGUGGGGAAUAUUGGACAAUGGGGGGAACCCUGAUCCAGCGACGCCGCGUGAGUGAAGAAGUAUUUCAGUAUGUAAAGCUCUAUCAGCAGGGAAGAAAGAAAUGACGGUACCUGACUAAGAAGCCCCGGCUAACUACGUGCCAGCAGCCGCGGUAAUACGUAGGGGGCAAGCGUUAUCCGGAUUUACUGGGUGUAAAGGGAGCGUAGACGGCAGUGCAAGUCUGGAGUGAAAGGCGGGGGCUCAACCCCCGGACUGCUCUGGAAACUGUACGGCUGGAGUGCAGGAGAGGUAAGUGGAAUUCCUAGUGUAGCGGUGAAAUGCGUAGAUAUUAGGAGGAACACCAGUGGCGAAGGCGGCUUACUGGACUGUAACUGACGUUGAGGCUCGAAAGCGUGGGGAGCAAACAGGAUUAGAUACCCGGGUAGUC
rnacentral:rRNA from 1 species